rnacentral:rRNA from 1 species
CAUUUAGAGGAAGUAAAAGUCGUAACAAGGUUUCCGUAGGUGAACCUGCGGAAGGAUCAUUACCGAACCGUUGACACGAGUUGUUGCUGGUCCUCGAAAGGGGGCACGUGCACGCUCUGUUUACACAUCCACUCACACCUGUGCACCCUCUGUAGUUCUGUGGCCUUGGGGACCCUGUUCCCCUUGCUGUGGUCCUACGUCUUUACACACACACUGUAGCAAAGUCUCAUGGAAUGGAUGUCGCGUUUAACGCAAUACAAUACAACUUUCAGCAACGGAUCUCUUGGCUCUCGCAUCGAUGAAGAACGCAGCGAAAUGCGAUAAGUAAUGUGAAUUGCAGAAUUCAGUGAAUCAUCGAAUCUUUGAACGCACCUUGCGCCCUUUGGCUAUUCCGAAGGGCAUGCCUGUUUGAGUAUCAUGAACACCUCAACUCUCAUGGUCCGCCAGAUGAGCUUGGACUUUGGGGGUCUUGCCGGCCUAGCGUCGGCUCCUCUCAAAGGAUCAGCUGCCCAGUGUUUGGUGGCAUCACAGGUGUGAUAACUAUCUACGCUUGUGGUUUUCUACCAUGUAACCUUCAGCGAUGGAGGUUCGCUGGGGCUCACAGACGUCUCUCCUUGGAGGACAGCUCUUUGAACGUUUGAUCUCAAAUCAGGUAGGACUACCCGCUGAACUUAAGCAU